rnacentral:rRNA from 1 species
AAGCUACGGCAUCAGUAAUGAUGGGUAGGGGAGCUUCCCAUACGGGUUGAAGCAUGACCGUAAGGACAUGUGGACAGUAUGGGAGUGAGAAUGUUGGCAUGAGUAGCGAGAUGUGGGUGAGAAUCCAACAGGCCGUAAACCCAAGGUUUCCAGGGGAAGGUUCGUCCGCCCUGGGUUAGUCGGGACCUAAGCUGAGGCCGAAAGGCGUAGGUGAUGGACAACAGGUUGAUAUUCCUGUACUACCGAUAACC